rnacentral:rRNA from 1 species
GCAAGUCUGGUGCCAGCAGCCGCGGUAAUUCCAGCUCCAAUAGCGUAUAUUAAAGUUGUUGCAGUUAAAAAGCUCGUAGUUGAAUUUCGGGAUCAAUAUUUCGGUCAUGCCGUUGGUAUGCACUGUUAUCAUUGAUUUCUCACCUUCUAAAGAACCAUAAUGCCAUUAAUUUGGUGUUACGGGGAAUUAGGACUGUUACCUUGAAAAAAUUAGAGUGUUUAAAGCAGGCUCACGCUUGAAUACAUUAGCAUGGAAUAAUGAAAUAGGACAUCCGAUUCUAUUUUGUUGGUUUCUAGGAUCGAUGUAAUGAUUAAUAGGGAUAGUUGGGGGCAUUAGUAUUCAAUUGUCAGAGGUGAAAUUCUUGGAUUUAUUGAAGACUAACUACUGCGAAAGCAUUUGCCAAGGAUGUUUUCAUUAAUCAAGAACGAAAGUUAGGGGAUCGAAGACGAUCAGAUACCGUCGUAGUCUUAACCAUAAACUAUGCCGACCAGGGAUCGGAUGAUGUUAAUUUUUUAAUGACUCAUUCGGCGCCUUACGGGAAAC